rnacentral:lncRNA from 1 species
AAGAAACUUGAGGCUGUUGCCAAGAAAGCGGACUGCAACAUACUGCAAGGUUGGAUACAGCCGAUAUGUAACCACCUGUAUUUCAGUGUGUGCAUGUCGGAGAAUGACAAAGCUAUUCGGCUGAGCAUCUGGAAGAGCACACAGGUCUACGAAAAGGUUCGUGCAAUUGUUCUCAACAAGCGACUCUUGACCGACAUUGCUCAGCUCUCAGCAGAAACGCGGACAUCAUGCUUGGAAUCUUUCCAUGCACUAAUGAUCCGGUUUGCUUCAAAGUCCAUUGCAUAAUCUCCAGGUGUCAUGUAUGCCAGAACCCAACUUGCAGUUAUGCACCACAACAAAAAUGCACAACGCAAGCAAGCUGAAGAUUCGAAAGGGCAGCUGUCAUUUCGGCGGAGGCUGCUUAAAGCAAAAAAAGCGGCACGAGGUUGUUUGCCCUGUGAAAGUCAAGGC